ACCAGGCUGUCUCGUCAGGCUAAUGUUGCUCCCAUUACAGACAAAGCAUGGGCAUCCUGUAGCAUACCAACAGCAGAGCAGGGCAACACCAAGGGACUCGCUAACUCCACUAACUCCAGGAUGCCAAGACGUGUGUGUGUGUGUGUGUGUCAUGGGACACUUGUUUCACCAUGGAGUUCGGGAAGGUUAAUUUCAAUCUCAAAAUGUUGCUGCUGACAAUGAUGAUGUUCAAAUGGGAGUUCCCCUCCUGGAUGUACCGUCAUGAGAAAACAGUGAGCUAUACAGUGCCUACGACAUCGGGAGCUUCCACGGCACCAACUUCAGUAUCUCUUUUUUUUCCUGCUCUCACUGAAGCCCAAAGGCCUACUCUUCCAGCUGAGGCGACCCAGGGAGGACGGAGAAGUUGGCAUGGGGAGAGUCCUUCCCUGACCGAAAGCCAUGCACAGGGUGCAUCUGGACAUGGGCGUGUGGAACAGCAAACUGAAUAACUCAGGAGAGCUGUACAUCCCCACCAAUGCUGAGAAUGUAGAGCCUGGCUGUAUUAGCGAUGACACCUGCCAGUGACACUGACUCCGAAUGGGAGCCCCCAGUGCCAAGUUUCCAUCCCCCACUGAAGCUGGUUCAUCCAACUCCUGCCACAAGUGGUGUUCAUCUGCCCAAAUUUAUUUCUGCAGGCAUGGAUGUGCCUCAGGGCCAAAAGGCCACAGCAUGGAGGCGUCGCUGUGUUCUUUGCAAAAUGAAGUCCCCCAUCACCUGCACCAUAUGCUUGGUUACCCUCUGCUAUAUAGCAGCAAGAGACUGCUAUGGCAACUGGCAUCAGCAGCACAAUAUUGUGUAGAGGACAGAGGGUCUUCCAAAUAUUGAAAGUGUUAUUUUGUAAAUGUAUAUUUAUUUUUCCUGUUUUUUUCUCCAUUUUUUGAGGGGGUGUGUUAGAAUACCAUUUUGGUAUUUUGUAUAUAGUUAUUCCAUUCAAAAUGUAUAACUUCACCAAUUUGGCCACUUGGGUACAUUUGGGCUACUUGUGUGGGACACCUGGGUGACUUCAUGAUAAAUGUCAUGUAGCACACUCAUUUUGGAAGUUAUCAUUCUGAAACUUUGUACAAGUACUGUUGCCCUUUCACUGAAAUUGUCCCUGUCAUCCUAUCUGAAUGUUGUAUUGUAUUAUCUAAACCAGAUCUAUUGUGUUAUAUUCUCCUACAUUCAAUUCACAUUUACACAAACUUCAGAGUGUUUUCUUUCAAAUGGUACCAAGAAUAUGCAUAUCCUUGGUUCUGUGUCUAAGCUACAGGCAGUUAGAUUUGGGUAUGUCUUCAGGCGUAAAUUGAAAAAAGUAGGGGGUAGCUCUAAGAGGUUUAAUAUUCCAUACUGACCUAUGAUUAUCAACAUUAGAGUGAAAUAUUACAGACAUUAGGCGUAGGCAGUAAAUUUAAAUAAUGUCAACUGUAUCAAAAUUCGGAUUAAUAAAAACCUGCGAGACCUGCGAGACACGUGUCAAUGUCCAUUGUGUGGACCUGGCUGACGGAUAUGAGUGUGAGUAAAUAUUAAGCAAAUUCUUAGGUUGAAAGAAAAUAACUCAAGACUAGCAAAACUUCUUAGGGUGCUGACAGACAGUGCAUGGUGGACGGGGUCAGUGUUGCCAACUAAUUUUCAGGGUUAGUUGCUAAGAGGCAGGUUGAUUUGUUGCUAAAAGUUGCUAAAUUAUGUUCUGAAGUCAUUGCGUAAUAACGUAAGUCUACGUCAUUAUGUAGAAUACACAAUAACGUUGCUCAAAUUGACUGGCCAUCUCGACAAAAAAUAUGAUUUGACAUUUGUUCAGGUACAAGACUCCGACUCUUUUCUGUACUUCUGGCUGUACAAUUUUGACUGAGACAUGUUUUUGAUUGAUGUUGUAAGUUCAAGCAUUAGUGACAAACUAUAUUAAUUGGGUUUGGCAAGUUGAACCCGUACAAUGAUUUGCAAUUUGCUGAAAUUGCUGCUGGCCUUCUGCUGCCUGUGCACGAGCUGAGCGCCUGCUGCUGAUGUCACUCACAAUGUAUUUUUGCAGCCAGGUGUGUGUGACAGAGAAAAUAGUUUUUGUGUCAUAUAGAGGGAAACUGCAUGCAUUUUAGUGUUUGAGUCACUUUUCCAAAGUUGCUAAAAGUUCCAAAUACAUUUUUAAAAGUAGCAAAAUGUGUUGCUAGGUGCUGUUUGAAAAAAAGUUGCCAGGAGAGUCUGAAAAGUUGCUAAAUCUAUCAAUAAAAUUGCUAAGUUGGCAUCACUGGACGGGGGUGGGGAACGAAACAACAGCAGGACCAGCUAACUUGCCCACUAGCUAGCUAGGUGGCUAAUACUAUCAGUUUAUAGAGUUACGUUUAACAAUAAAAAUAAUUGUGAAUCCAUUUUUGGAUUAACAAUUGCUGUUGUAUGUAAUGACGUUUGUAUGCAUGCUUAGGGUUUUAUAGUGAUAUUAUUUUGUUUAUUUUGUUGCUAUUAUCACCACCGACUUUCGCAUAGACUGUGUGCUGUCGCCUUGUGUGUGGCUCGGAUGACAAGUAGUGUACUGGGGGAGUGCUCUGCGAUAUUCUGCUGGCUGUCAGAAAAGCACUUUAGGGUUUCUUCACAUUUGCUUUCUUGCAAAAGCCUUAAAAAUAAAUAAAAAUGUGUGUAUCUGUCUUUGCAUGAAUGAAACAAUUCCCACACGCACAAAAUGUAUACUAGAUAGGUUUAUUAGUAUAUUAUAUAAUGUAAACUCACUCACUUUUGUACAUCGCCUUGGUCUGUACAAUUUACCUUAUUUUAGCGUCCCAAAAACGUAAUGUCAAUACAAUUGUAAAGCACAAUUUCUCCCCUUUCCAACAAAAUCAAUGACAUGAGCUCCCGCUGCCCGUUUCUGCAUAAUUCAAGAAGGCAAUGAGCUCCGUCGAGUCUUUUUAAAAAUGGCGGGUGGGGAAGAAAAACUAAUGCGUGAUAGUGAGAAGGACAGAUAUCGUGUGGGAAAACUUAUUUUUUUCACUCAAUCUGUCCAAUUUAUCACCUUAUUGCCUCUAAAAUGUAAAUAAAACAUGAUAAAGAGUUUAUAUAAUGUGUCAUUACAUACCUAUUUGAAGAUUUGUGUUGAAUUUGAAUCGGGCUUUUAGUGCGGUGCUAAAGUGAUCUUCAGAAGUGAACAGCGGCUUUGAGAGUCAUGAUGCUUGCAGUGAUGACGGAAAAAAUGAGUCGGUAUCCCCCUUACCCCCGUCACUGUCCAUUUCUUGUUUUUAAAUGAUGAGAGAAGUGCUACACCUGGUGGAGACAGAUUGUAAGACAGAAAUAGUUGCUUUAUGCGUGCUGUAAGUUACGGCAUCACACGUCAUGAUGUAACAGAGGGUCCGUUUUUUUCAACUUUUCUCCAAUACUAUAGAGCGAUUACCAUGCUGAUCAACGCUUGAAUAGAAACGUAGUUCACACCCCCUAUUUUGAAGUCAUCACAGUCACUACAGUCCCAUUAGUUUUCUUUGCAGCCUCGUUUGAAUGUCGCGGUUGUGCACAUUUGUACGGAAUGGGGUGAGUUUACGUUAUAUAGUGAGUUUUUGUUGUCUAAUGUCU